rnacentral:rRNA from 1 species
UGCCAGCCGCCGCGGUAAUACGGAGGAUCCAAGCGUUAUCCGGAAUCAUUGGGUUUAAAGGGUCCGCAGGCUGUUUUUUAAGUCAGAGGUGAAAUCCUACAGCUCAACUGUAGAACUGCCUUUGAUACUGGAAAACUUGAGUUAUUGUGAAGUGGUUAGAAUGUGUGGUGUAGCGGUGAAAUGCAUAGAUAUCACACAGAAUACCGAUUGCGAAGGCAGAUCACUAACAAUAUACUGACGCUCAUGGACGAAAGCGUGGGGAGCGAACAGGAUUAGAUA